rnacentral:rRNA from 1 species
CACGAACGCUGGCGGCAGGCUUAACACAUGCAAGUCGAGCGCCCCGCAAGGGGAGCGGCAGACGGGUGAGUAACGCGUGGGAACCUACCCAUCUCUACGGAAUAACGCACGGAAACGUGUGCUAAUACCGUAUACGUCCUUCGGGAGAAAGAUUUAUCGGAGAUGGAUGAGCCCGCGUUGGAUUAGCUAGUUGGUGGGGUAAAGGCCUACCAAGGCGACGAUCCAUAGCUGGUCUGAGAGGAUGAUCAGCCACACUGGGACUGAGACACGGCCCAGACUCCUACGGGAGGCAGCAGUGGGGAAUAUUGGACAAUGGGCGCAAGCCUGAUCCAGCCAUGCCGCGUGAGUGAUGAAGGCCCUAGGGUUGUAAAGCUCUUUCACCGGUGAAGAUAAUGACGGUAACCGGAGAAGAAGCCCCGGCUAACUUCGUGCCAGCAGCCGCCGUAAUAC